AGCGCGGCUGGGCCCGCGCCAGGGGGGAGGGGGAGAGCCCCGCUCCGGUCCUGAGGAGAGGAGGAAGAGCGGCGGAUGGUUGCUGCGCGAGUUCUCGCUCUUGGUGAAAAAAUCUCUCUUCUCUGGAAAUUCAUUUCCAUUUACUUAAAGUUAAAUGGUUUGACUUUGAAUUUUCAUUAUCUGCUGUUGGAAGGAGCCUGUGACAGGCAUUAGCAACAUAGUGGAUGAAGAUUUUCUGGACACUGAAGGAACUAUGAGAAUCACACUGAUGGAGUCCAGUGUCUCUUGCAACAGAAGAAAAUACCAUCAGCACAUCCACCCUACACAACCAGUCUUCUGCCCUUCUCUCCCAAGCCAGAAGAAUAGUCUUCUGCAGUCUGAGUAAUAGUAUCUCCACUUCACUGAAAUACUCAGACAAAACAAGAUUUGUAACA